rnacentral:rRNA from 1 species
UACGUAGGGUGCGAGCGUUAAUCGGAAUUACUGGGCGUAAAGCGUGCGCAGGCGGUUCGCCAAGUCAGGCGUGAAAUCCCCGGGCUUAACCUGGGAAUUGCGCUUGAAACUAGCGGGCUUGAGUGCGGCAGAGGGGGGUGGAAUUCCACGUGUAGCAGUGAAAUGCGUAGAGAUGUGGAGGAACACCGAUGGCGAAGGCAGCCCCCUGGGUCGACACUGACGCUCAUGCACGAAAGCGUGGGGAGCAAACAGG